UGCUCCUUGUCGUGUGCAGUAACCAUCCCAAACCCUCCGGACUUGUGUAACGCCAUUAGUUCGCCGUGUGUUUCGAGCGAUCCACCAGUGUCGUCAGUGAGUGCCCUAGUACAGCGCCCGUCCGAGCUGCCUUUGUUCUGCCGAGCUGCCUGCCCGCGCUCUCGUGAAAAGUCUGGUACUGGGGCUUCAAAUUGUAGCGUUUGGAAGACUGUUGAAGGUUGUGCUUUUGUGGAGCUGGAGUUCAUCGGAAGUUCUACAGUGCUUGCGCCAGAGAAACGUCGGUGCCUCUGUACCUGUUAGACGAAGGAGCGUUUGCCAAGUCUCGAAAGGUAGACAUCGGUGACGGUGUAUACGUGGAAAAGGGCCUGCUGAGAGGCUGUGCCUGGAUGCUAACAACUCAGGCUUUCACUUCGCGAAGGGCCUCCUUAAAGCUCAUUUUUCAAUAGAAGACGUUGAAGGGAGAUCCUUUUUUGGGCGGCUGUCAAAUGCCUUCCACAGAAGGAUCCGUUGGAUUCCAAGAAGGUCAACACCAUAGUAGACUACACAAUGCAACAUUUCAGCCUACUUCCAGGGCAGCUGGACAACUCGUCCUCCUUACUAGCCCGGGGAUAUUAAAAGGAUGUGUUGAAGCACAAAUGGAAACCUGUCUUCUUCUGUUGCAUGCCA